GCUGCGGUGUCCGAGUGGUUAAGGAGAUGGACUUGAAAUCCAUUGGGCUCUUCCCGCACAGGUUCGAAUCCUGUCCGCAGCG